rnacentral:rRNA from 1 species
UACGUAGGUGGCAAGCGUUGUCCGGAAUUAUUGGGCGUAAAGCGCGCGCAGGCGGCCUUUUAAGUCUGAUGUGAAAGCCCCCGGCUCAACCGGGGAAGGUCAUUGGAAACUGAGAGGCUUGAGUACAGAAGAGGAAAGCGGAACUCCACGUGUAGCGGUGAAAUGCGUAGAGAUGUGGAGGAACACCGACGGCGCAGGCAGCGUCCUGGCCGCUUGCUGACACUGAGGCACGAAAGCUGGGGGAGCAAACAGG